rnacentral:rRNA from 1 species
UCACGCACACGCACAGGCUCGCAAGAGAAACGGGCAGCAGCGGCAGGUUUGACUGUGAAAUCAUUGUCAAACACUCGCUGGGAGAGUUGAAUCAAAAGUGUUACAACAAUAAGAUAUCAAGCCAUUGAGUUAAGGUCAGCUUUGUCUGAGUUACGUGAUGCUUCUGGCACUGAACUUAAGGAUAAAAGUGAUGCAAAAAAUUUAUUUGAUGCACUUGGUCGCUUUGAGUUUCUACUUGGUAUGAUUAUCUGGCAUGAUAUUCUGUUUGCUGUAAAUAAAGUUAGCAAGAUGCUGCAAUCGUCAACCAUGUGUAUUGACUCUGCUUUGAAGCAAAUAAGAGGUAUAACAGAAUAUUUUGAGAAGUACAGCGAUGAUGGGUUUACUUCAAGUUUGACCAUCGCCAAAGGUAUAGCGACUGAAAUGGGAAUUGACCUUGUGUUUCCAAUGAAAUGUCGUGCUAAGAGGAAGAGACAGUUUGGUGAAAGUGAUUGUCAAGAAGAAAUUCUAGAAGCUGAGAAGGCUUUUCGUGUUAAAUAUUUUUUUGUUUUGGUUGAUAUGGCGGUCACUUCUUUGAAGGAUAGAUUUAAAGAACUAAUGGUGUUCAAAGAUAUAUUUGGAUUUUUAUUGAGCUCGGGCACCCUGAAGUCAUUAAGUGAUAAUGAACUUGAAGAGUGUUGCACAAAAUUUGCAGAAACAUUCUCUCUUGAUAGGUUCAUCUGA